UGGGGCGUAUCACCCUAAACGCACCGACCCCGGCUGGUUUGGGAAGCGAAGCAGGGUCAGGCCUGAUUCGUACUUGGAUGGGAACACUCGGGAACGUGGGGGACAGCCUGCC
rnacentral:rRNA from 1 species